UCCCUGGUGGUCCAGUGGCUAAGACUCUGCACUCUCAGUGCAGGGGACCCAGGUUCAAUCCCUCAUCAGGAAA
rnacentral:tRNA from 1 species